UGUAAUAGGGUGCAUUUUAUGAUAAUUACAUUCAUGCAUAUUAUUCAUAUUUCAUCUUCAACAUCAUCAUCAUCAUCCUAUAUUCCAUAUUUUACAUGUACAUAUUUAGAAACAGACUAAUAUCCCUAUAACUCCCUGUCUUUUAUGCAUCUAUCAAGUAAUCAUUACUUAAUUACCUUUUCUAGUGGCUUCUGAUAUUUUAUAGCCCUAAGUCAUUUCACCUGUAUGGUCACUUACAUACAUGUGGACAAGAUCAGGUGGUUUACUUAGCCAAUAGUAUGUUUUUAUGAUUUUUUCCCGCUUUAACUGAGUAGCCUUUGUGACAGACCAAGGCUAGUAUUCCUAGGAGUAAGACCUAAUUUCUUCAAGAGACGAUUUCACUUAUUUAUUUAUUUCAUUAACAUAUUUGAAGCAGUCAUUUAUAUUAGAGACUAGCUACCAUUGUCAGAGUAAUCUGCAGGAUUGUGCAUGAAACCUUGUUCCAUAAACAGGUGAUCGUUGCAAAGUUAUAUUUUUAUAUUUAUUUUAUGUAUCUUGAUAAAAUGUAAUCUACAAAGGAGUUACAUUGAAAGUAUAUGUUUUUAUUUAAUUAAAUAUUGAUAUUGAUAAAGAUGUAGAGCAUAUUUCUAUAUUUUUGUAAAUUGUGUUCAAGGGCAGUAACUCUUCUUGACACUGAAAUUAUGAUCAGAGUUAUCCUUCUUUACAAAUAGUUUGAUUAGUGAACUCUGAGCAUUAAUGUAUUUCAUGAAUAUGUAUUUGAAUAUGGUUGUAUAUUUUUAUGCUGAAACUUAUGUAAACAUUGAUCCUUUUUAUGCUGAUAUCUAUGAAUUAUAUUACA